CGUAAACAGAGGGAAGCGAGCCCGCAGGGGGAGCGAAUCCCAAAAAUAACGUCCCAGUUCGGAUUGUAGUCUGCAACCCGACUACAUGAAGCUGGAAUCGCUAGUAAUCGCGGAUCAGAAUGCCGCGGUGAAUACGUUCCCGGGUCUUGUACACACCGCCCGUCACACCAUGGGAGUCGGAAAUGCCCGAAGUCUGUGACCCAACCUUAGGGAGGGAGCAGCCGAAGGCAGGUCGGAUGACUGGGGUGAAGUCGUAACAAGGUACC
rnacentral:rRNA from 1 species